GGAUGUGAGGGCGAUCUGGCUGCGACAUCUGUCACCCCAUUGAUCGCCAGGGUUGAUUCGGCUGAUCUGGCUGGCUAGGAGGGUGUCCCCUUCCUCCCUCACCACUCCAUGUGCGUCCCUCCCGAAGCUGCGCGCUCGGUCGAAGAGGAUGGCCUUCCCCGAAUAGAGACGGACCGGUCUUCGGUCGAGGGUAUACGAGUAGCUGCGCUCCCCUGCUAGAACCUCCAAACAAGCUCUCAAAAGUUUUAUCUAUUUGUUCCUUCUUUUUUUAAUUUUUUAUUAUUUUUAUUUAUUGGAUAGAGACAGCCAGAAAUUGAGAGU
rfam:Erinaceus europaeus unplaced genomic scaffold scaffold00159, whole genome shotgun sequence